rnacentral:tRNA from 1 species
AACCUUGUAGUAUAUAAUUAGUACAUUUAAUUUCCAAUUAAAUAGACCAAUAGUAAGGCAAAGUUA